GGGGAAGUAGCUAAGUGGUAUAGCGCAACUUUAGCAUAGUUGAGGUCCAGGGUUCAAUUCCCUGCUUCUCCA